GGUUAGUUUUACCCUACUGAUGAAUGUCGUCCCAAUGGUAAUACCGCUUAGUACGAGAGGAACCGCGGAUUCAGAUAAUUGGUUUUUGCGGCUGUCCGACCGGGCAGUGCCGCGAAGCUACCAUCUGCUGGAUUAUGGCUGAACGCCUCUAAGUCAGAAUCCAUGCCAGAAAGGGACGAUUUCCUCCUGCACGUCGUAGUUGGAUACGAAUAGG
rnacentral:rRNA from 1 species